rnacentral:rRNA from 1 species
UGGAGAUGCGAUAGCACGUUGAAUGCACCAGUUCCCAAUGGUUCACUGAAGUUGAGCAACGUUGCGCGUGGUUGGCAUCCGGAGGGGUAACUAGUCAAUCUGUGC